UUUCCUUUCUCCACCAUCGUGGUGUGUUCUUGCCUCCACUUCUCGCCAUGUCUUCUCACAAGACUUUCAGGAUUAAGCGAUUCCUGGCCAAGAAACAAAAGCAAAAUGGUCCCAUUCCCCAGUGGAUUCGGAUGAAAACUGGAAAUAAAAUAAGGUACAACUCCAAAAGGAGACACUGGAGAAGAACCAAGCUGCGUCUAUAAGGAA